GACGGAGGGGGCGAGCGUUGUCCGGAAUUACUGGGCGUAAAGGGCGCGUAGGCGGUGGCGUACGGCGGUGGUGAAAGCUCCCGGCUCAACUGGGAGAGGUCCAUCGCGACGGCGUGACUGGAGGUUGGUAGAGGCAGACGGAAUUCCUGGUGUAGCGGCGAAAUGCGUAGAGAUCAGGAGGAACACCCGUGGCGAAGGCGGUCUGCUGGGCCACACCUGACGCUGAGGCGCGAAAGCACGGGUAGCGAAC
rnacentral:rRNA from 1 species